rnacentral:rRNA from 1 species
GAUGAACGCUGGCGGCGUGCCUAAUGCAUGCAAGUCGAGCGAACGGACGAGAAGCUUGCUUCUGUGAGGUUAGCGGCGGACGGGUGAGUAACACGUGGAUAACCUACCUAUAAGACUGGGAUAACUUCGGGAAACCGGGGCGAAGACCGGAAAAUAGUUUGAACCGCAUGGGUCAAAAGCGAAAGACGGUCUUGCUGUCGCUGAUAGAUGGAUCCGCGCUGCAUUAGCUAGUUGGUAAGGUAAGGGCUUACCAAGGCAACGAUGCAUAGCCGACCUGAGCGAGUGAUCGGCCACGCUGGAACUGAGACACGGUCCAGACUCCUACGGGAGGACGCAGUAGGGAAUCUUGCGAGAUGGGAGAAAGCAUGACGGAGCAACGCGGCGUGAGUGAUGAAGGUCUUGGGAUCGUAAAACUCUGUUAUUAGGGAAGAACAUAUGUGUAAGUAACUGUGCACGUCUUGACGGUACCUAAUCAGAAAGCCACGGCUAACUCCGUG